UGAAAAUGUACCUAACAGAAGGUCUUCAAUAACAUUGAAUCCUUUAAGGGAAGCAUUGCCGAACGUAAUAAUAUUGCAUGGAUUGUAAUUCCAGAUAAAAUGGCAAACCCCACAUGAUAAAUGAUGUUUUGGUCCGGUCAAAGAAGGGGUAGAAUAACAGAUUCCAAGGGUUCAGUCCAUGUAGGACAGAAGAUCUUUUUGAUCAAGCAGAUGGUGUUUCAGGUUUUAAUCACUAACUGAAAAGUACUUCUGUAGGAAUUGUGCCCUUGGUGACUGGUGUUUACACCACUGGUGCAGCCUAUGCUGGUGUAGCCUUGCACACUCAUCACACUGUGCUAUGGAGUAAGAAUCACCUACUUAUAGUAUACAAUAUCCCUUUAGCUUCCAAUGUACAGUAAGCUUUGUGUUUCCUAAAAAUAAUGUGCUCUAUGUGUUGCUUAUGCAGCUUAAUGGUAUGAAAUAUACAGAGCUGCUUAUUUAGAUUUGAAAAUAUCAUGCCAAUCAGAAAGAAAAUUCUUGGUUUUUGUGUUGUUUCACAUGGAUAUUAUUCUUUGAUUACUUUUGUGAAAAUAGUUUUCAGUACUAUAACUGUCAAAGAACAGUAAAGGAAACUGUAAAGGAUCUCAUAAAUAAGGAUGAGAAUUCUUUAUGUGAAGAAGAGGAAAAUUAAAUUAUGCAUGUUUCACCCACGUGUUUACCAGUGAAGUUACAAACAUCUGGCUCCAGCUGAGGAACAACAAAGCCCCAUUUUAAAUAAUAUAAGUGUAACCUUAUUUUCUAAUUAAAAAAAUGAAAAUAUUGUUUCAUAAUUUUAAGAAUGUGCAUUACAUCUAUAGCUACUUGUGUUGUUUAACCCCAAU
ensembl:lincRNA